GCUGACCUGCGAAAACACGCGGGAAUCGGACGGCCUCCGGAGCCGUGUGCGCAGGUUCGAAUCCUGCCGGGGGCA
rnacentral:tRNA from 1 species